GAUGAAGAACGUAGCGAAAUGCGAUACGUAAUGUGAAUUGCAGAAUUCAGUGAAUCAUCGAGACUUUGAACGCACAUUGCGCCCCCUGGUAUUCCGGGGGGCAUGCCUGUCCGAGCGUCAUUGCUGCCCUCAAGCACGGCUUGUGUGUUGGGCCUCCGUCCUCCUCCCGGGGGACGGGCCCGAAAGGCAGCGGCGGCACCGCGUCCGGUCCUCGAGCGUAUGGGGCUUCGUCACCCGCUCUUGUAGGCCCGGCCGGCGCUUGCCGACACAUCAAUCUUUUUUCCAGGUUGACCUCGGAUCAGGUAGGGAUACCCGCUGAACUUAAGCAUAUCAAUAAGCGGAGGA
rnacentral:misc_RNA from 1 species